rnacentral:rRNA from 1 species
AACGAACGCUGGCGGCAUGCCUAACACAUGCAAGUCGAACGAACCCUUCGGGGUUAGUGGCGCACGGGUGCGUAACGCGUGGGAAUCUGCCCUUUGCUUCGGAAUAACAGUUAGAAAUGACUGCUAAUACCGGAUGAUGUCUUCGGACCAAAGAUUUAUCGGCAAAGGAUGAGCCCGUGUAGGAUUAGGUAGUUGGUGGGGUAAAGGCCUACCAAGCCGACGAUCCUUAGCUGGUCUGAGAGGAUGAUCAGCCACACUGGGACUGAGACACGGCCCAGACUCCUACGGGAGGCACCAGUGGGGAAUAUUGGACAAUGGACGCAAGUCUGAUCCAGCAAUGCCGCGUGAGUGAUGAAGGCCUUAGGGUUGUAAAGCUCUUUUACCAGGGAUGAUAAUGACAGUACCUGAGAAUAAGCCCCGGCUAACUCCGUGCCAGCAGCCGCCGUAACAC